AUUCUUGAAGUCAGUGAGACCAAGAACCCACCAAUUCCAGACACACUACCAAAGGCAGAGGGGAGCUCCUAGACAAAGAUAUUUUGCUUACAAAUGGAACAUAUCAAAUCAAGCUUUUGUGAACUUGAGGGAAGAAACAAAGAAUAUGAAGCCUAAAUGGAAGUGUCAGGAAAUGGUCGCCUUGCGGACAAGGAAACAGCAGCCUGGAAGGCCAGGAGAGGGCAGACUACCCACCUAACCCUCUGCAGAAUUUUGUGUGGACCCUGGAGACCAGAAACUAACUUCUCCUGCAGGCUGGAGUGUAGUGGUACGAUCUUGGCUUACUGCAACCUCCACCUCCUGGGUUCAAGCGGCCCUGUCAUCUCAGCCUCCUGAGUAGCUGGGGUUACAGAGCUCCUUUCUGACAACUUGCAAUUGAUCCAACAUUUGAAACCUUAUGCAGGAGCCGGACAGCUUGGUUUUGAAUUAUAAUCUUACAAAUUACUGGCUGUGUGUUAAAUCUUUAAAUUACUGGCUGUGUGACUUUGUGUAAGUACCUUCACUUCUCUGUGCCUUAGUUUAUGUUAUGUAAAAGGUAUGAUAAUAGUAUCUAUCUUGGAAUUUAGUUUUUAAAUAUAAAAUUUAUAUAUCUACAACAGCUGAAUAAGUGUUAUCUAUCUUUAUUACCAUUGCAAUUAUUAUUAUAAUUAUUUGUAUAUGUCGGGCUCAUAAAGCUCUUAGCUUUGCAAAACUGUCUGAGAAAGUUUGCUUUUCUUUGCAUUCAUUGGGAAAUUAACUUUUCUACACAAUAAUGUUUUUAAGGCAUGGACCUGUAAAAUGUUUAAUUGGUGUGGCUUCAAAGUAUAGAAAUUGUAAAGUAGGAAAUAAUUAUACACAACUAUCAAACCAAUAAUAAAGGUCAAUAAAUAUUCAAACAGUAUUAAUAU
rnacentral:lncRNA from 1 species